CAGCAGCCGCGGGAAUACGGAGGGUGCAAGCGUUAAUCGGAAUUACUGGGCGUAAAGCGUGCGUAGGCGGUUCGUUAAGUCUGUUGUGAAAGCCCCGGGCUCAACCUGGGAAUGGCAAUGGAUACUGGCGAGCUAGAGUGUGUCAGAGGAUGGUGGAAUUCCCGGUGUAGCGGUGAAAUGCGCAGAGAUCGGGAGGAACAUCAGUGGCGAAGGCGGCCAUCUGGGACAACACUGACGCUGAGGCACGAAAGCGUGGGGAGCAAACAGGAUUAGAUACCCCCGUAGUCCCUGUCUCUUAUAC
rnacentral:rRNA from 1 species